CAGAACCAGCUUACUAAUAAUGAGAACAAUGUCUUACAACAGACCAGUUCAUUCACAAACCAUCCUUUAGCCAAAGCUUUGAGAAAAAGUCUCCCUAAGAAAAAGAAUGACAAAUGUUAUGGCACUGUCUAAAAGCACUUAAAGAAUCCAGAGGAAGAAUGUUCCAAAAAUCCGCGGCAAGACUAAAUAUUUGGGGUGUGAUGUGUGACAAUCAAGAGCCUUAAAAGAAGUUUUCAGUCUUCAGUACACACUUGAUAUGAGGCAACCAAAAAAAAUACUUGAUCUACCAACAACAUAUGCAUGAGUUAAGAGCCCAACUGGUGGUGAGGAACGAAGGAGCAGGGAUAGUACUACAGAGGACAAAGAAGAAAAUAAAGUGGCCCUGUCCUAUCACUAAAGCCAAUGCUUUGUCUCAAGAAAUCAGUGAGCUGUGGCCAACUGGAAUAAUUUUUGUCCUCUAAAACACAAAGGAAGUCGUACAUAGCUCCUUUUCCUACAGGAAAAACAACAUGGUAUAAUGGAAGAAGAACAUAUUCUAAAAUAAGGCACAGAUGCUACAGCUGAACUUCUGCCAUAAUAAAGAGCUUAUUUCCCUGUGCCAAGCACCACCUCUUUACCACCA
rnacentral:lncRNA from 1 species